ACUCUAACAGUAAAUUCAUGGUCAAUGUGCUGGUAUUUAAGCACUGAAAUUUAGAUCAAUAUUGAAAGGCAAAUUGGAAUAAUUCAGCUAUAAAUAUUCGCGUCACUAUUUAGAGAAAUGUUUGCCAAAAUUGAUAGUAAGACAUCAAUUUCAGUGCUAACUGUACAUUAAAUUGCAUUAUUUUUCUUUAAAGAAAUAAUGUUUAACACCGUUGUAGAACAAAUAACAUAUUGUUAGAUCGCUGUCUAAAAAUUAGUGAGUUUGUCGGGCUUUUAAGCAGUCGUUGGAAAGAAUUUCUUCCUAAGGUUCAGAGGUGCUUCGCUCAAAAGAUGUUCUUCUUUGUUCCAGUUUCAAGAAAUAGCCACACAAGUCUUACCUUUUCGGUAGUCUUAGACAAAGUAGAUAACUUGAGAAUAACUGCGUUUCCAGGUGGAUGGAGAAAUUUCAAAUUGAAAAAUUGCAGGAAGUAAUCAAAACUAUACAGGUUUGCCAGUCAUUUUAAUUCUUCCUUGCGCUAACGACUUCGAAGGCGUGUGAAUAAUUUUUUAAAUUUGCUAUAAUAUUAAUUGAGAACUUAUUACGAACAAUGCAAGUGAUGGACAAUGAACAUUAUGUGUGUGAUCAGGGCAAACAGUUAAAAUAUGUGAAUAUCUCUAAUAUUAAUGAAUUAUUUUCAUAUCUCCUAUAGGUAUUUUAUGUUCUCUUUUAGCCCUUUCUUAAUAAUUCAAAUAAAAAUAACAAUUCUAGUCAA